rnacentral:hammerhead_ribozyme from 1 species
CCACUGUUGAAGAGUCCCACGAUAGGACGAAACGGCCGUCCAGUGC